UUUCUUUGCAGAUGCAUUUAAGGGCCUCAUCCAGAGGAAAUAUUGGAAAGGAUCUCUUCCUUGGAUUCAUUGCUAUUGUUUUAUGCGGGCAAAUGAAACUGAAGAAUUGAUAAUUUCAGAGGCAGAAUCUGCCUUAAAUGCCUCCAUAAAAGACCAUAUAUUUCAUAAGGUUAGGAAUGUUGCUCCAAACAAGGCGAUGUAUUGCUUGAGUUUUAGGCUGCCGGAAGCAUGCUUCAAUGAAGAUGCCACUCGUGAUCUUCAUUCUUCUGGUGAAGAAAUAGCCCCAGUUUGAACUCAAUUUUGAUUUGCCAUCAAUUUGGAGAGCUUGUUCUUAGUUUUGACAUAUUUCGUCGGUAACAUGGCACUGGUGCUUCCUGCUAUUUUUAACUAUGCAGAAUGGAAGCUUUAAAAGGAAUUGAUAGUACUUAAGCUGAUUUGAAUGUAACAUGAAUCUGAUUUAUAUCUUUUUAAAAAAAGUUUUUCCUUUAUUGUUU